rnacentral:rRNA from 1 species
AUUAAAUAGCCGCAGUAUUUUGACUGUGCGAAGGUAGCAUAAUCAUUUGUCUUUUAAUUGAAGGCUAGUAUGAAUGGUUGGAUGAGGGAAUGACUUUCUUUGCAUUAAUAAUUGAAUUUAAUAUUUAGGUUAAAAAGCUUAAAUUUAUAAAAGGGACGAGAAGACCCUAUAGAAUUUUAUUUUUAUAUUGAAAUUUUUAUUUUGGUUAAUUUGUUAAGAUUUUGUUAUAGGAAUUUUGUUGGGGUGACAGUGAGAUUAAAUUAACUCUUAUAAUUUAUUUAUUGUUUAUGAGCAUAUUGUAGAUCCUAUUUUAUGGAUAUAUAGAUUAAAUUACCUUAGGGAUAACAGCGUAAUUUUUCUGGAGAGUUCAUAUCGAUAGAAGAGUUUGCGACCUCGAUGUUGGAUUAAAAUUAAAUUUAAGUGCAGAAGCUUAAU